AUAGCGAAGUACGAACGGACGAAGAAGGGUAGCAAUACCUCCUAGAGUGGCGGACUGGUGAGUAACACGUGGGUGACAUACCCUUCAGAUGGGGAUAGCUAUUAGAAAUAGUAGAUAAUACCGAAUACGAGCACAGGGGUUAGAGAUCUGUGAGGAAAGGAGCUAAGGCUCCGCUGAAGGAAUGGCCUGCGGCCCAUUAGCUAGUUGGUGAGGUAAGAGCCCACCAAGGCGAUGAUGGGUAUCCGGCCUUAGAGGGUGAACGGACACAUUGGGACUGAGAUACGGCCCAGACUCCUACGGGAGGCAGCAGCUAAGAAUAUUCCGCAAUGGACGAAAGUCUGACGGAGCGACGCCGCCGUGGAUGAAGAAGGCCGGAAGGUUGUAAAAUCCUUUUGAAACUGAAGAAUAAGCGUUGUAGGGAAUGACAGCGUGGUGACAGUAGGUUUUGAAUAAGCAACGGCUAAUUACGUGCCAGCCGCCGC
rnacentral:rRNA from 1 species